GACGAACGCUGGCGGCGUGCUUAACACAUGCAAGUCGAACGGAGCACCUUUGAAAGAGACUUCGGUCAAUGGAUGAGACUGCUGAGCGGCGGACGGGUGAGUAACGCGUGGGGAACCUGCCUCAUACAGGGGGAUAACAGUUAGAAAUGACUGCUAAUACCGCAUAAGCGCACAGUGCCGCAUGGCGCUGUGUGAAAAACUCCGGUGGUAUGAGAUGGACCCGCGUCUGAUUAGCUGGUUGGUGAGGUAACGGCCCACCAAGGCGACGAUCAGUAGCCGGACUGAGAGGUUGGCCGGCACAUUGGGACUGAGACACGGCCCAG
rnacentral:rRNA from 1 species